CAACAGCGUAUAUUAAAGUUGCUGCAGUUAAAACGCUCGUAGUUGUUGUCCAACUAUAUGCUACACUCCUUCAGGAGCGGUGGCUCAAUAGUUUCGCGGACUUCGCAGUCCGCCAAAACCUUGAGGAAAGAUUAGCGUUCCAAGCAAUAGUCGUUUGCCCUCUCCAGCAUGGUAUAUAGCCAAACCGGUGAAGAUGCUUGCCACGUCUUCGCAUUGCAAAAUAGAAAUUCAAGGGGAUGUGCGUACUUCAAUGUCAGAGGUGAAAUUCCUGGAUUAUUGAAAGACGGUCAAUUGCGAAAGCAUUCGUCAAACGACUUUUCUUUGA
rnacentral:rRNA from 1 species